rnacentral:rRNA from 1 species
AAAAGUAAGAGUUUAAUGUUAGCUCCGAAUAAACGCUAUCUAGAGGCAUUACACAUGCAAAUCGUACGUAUUAGUGAUAAUAAGUGGUGAACAGGUGAGUAAAAAUAGGAAUCUACCCAUUCAUAAGGUUAGAUACCUUUUAAAAGAACAAUUGUUUGUGGAUGGAUGAGUCUAUAUUGGGGAGGUAGUUGUAUGGGUAAAUUCCAUACAAGCCAUAGAACCAUAGUUAAAUUUGAAAGAAUGAAUAGCCACAUUGGCUCUGGAACAACAGCCAAGAUUUUCAUAUCAGAAAAUCCAGCAGUGGGGAAUAUUGGUCAAUGAUCGAAAGAUUGAACCAGCUAUCUAGAAGAAAUAAAUUUCUGUUAUUAGAGAGGAUAAUGACGUUAUCUAAUUAUAGUCUCGACUAAAUCUCGUGCCAGCAGUCGCGGUAAUACGAGUGAGGCAAGCGUUAUUCAUAAUUAUUAGGUCUAAAGGGUGCGUAGAUGGUUAGUUAUCUAACUAGAGUCGAAUUGAAGAAUAAAGAAUUUUGAGAGUAGAGAUGAAAUUCAACGAUACUCAAAGGACUGCCAAUGGCGAAAGCAUUAUUCUAAGUAGCGACUGACAUUGAGGUACGUAGGCAUAAGUAGCGAAAAGGAUUAGAUACCCUUGUAGUUUAUGCUGUAAACUAUGAAUGCUAGAGGUUAGAUAUUUUCUUAUUUGGUCUCUAAGUGAAGAUUUUAAGCAUUCCACCUGAGAAGUACUGUCGCAAGACUGAAACUCAAAACAUUAGACGGUCACAGAGAUCAGCAGUGAAGCAUGUUGUUUAAUUCGAUAACCCACGAUAAAUCUUACCACUUCUUGUAUAGUCAGGUUUAUAUAUUAUUUAUUUAAUAAUAUUCAUAUAUAUUAAUUUUAAUAAUAUAUUUAUUAUUUAUUGAUUACAGGUGUUGCAUGGCUGUCUUUAGUUCGUGUUGUGAAAUGUUAGGUUAAUUCCGAAAACGAACGCAAACCUUAUCUUUAAUUAUUUAUUACUUAAUUGUUUUUUUUUAUUUGUUUAAAUAAAUUUAAAAGUUAAGUUGUUUAUUAAAGAAAUGUCUAUCGAUAUUAUAGAAUAACUAGGAUGAAGACAAGUCCUCAUGACCCUUAUGAAGUGGGCUACAGACGUGCUGCAAAAGUUUCUACAAUGGGAUGCAAAGAUUAAAAUCAGAGCUAAUCCUUAAAAGAUAUUUUAGUCCGGAUAAGUGCCUGGAACUCGGCUCUUUGAAGUUGGAAUUGCUAGUAAUCGUCUAUCACCAUGAGACGGUGAAUCUACCAUCUGUGAUGUACUAACUACUCGUCAAGCGCGGAAAUUUUACAAGAAAUCCAAGUUCUUACGUCAAUUUCUUAGAGAUCUGUGCUAAGUCGAAAUAAGGUAGCUGUAGGGGAACCUGUAGCUGAAUAAUUUUUGUC